UACCAGCUCUCCGAGUGGUAGGGAUGAUUAUUGGGCUUAAAGCGUCCGUAGCCGGCUUAGCAAGUUUCCUGUUAAACUCUGCGACUUAAUCGUUGAAUCGCGGGAAAUACUACUAGGCUAGGAGGCGGGAGAGGUCAACGGUACUUCUGGGGUAGGGGUGAAAUCCUAUAAUCCCGGGAGGACCACCAGUGGCGAAGGCUGUCGACUAGAACGCGCUCGACGGUGAGGGACGAAAGCUGGGGGAGCGAACCGGAUUAGAUACCCGGGUAGUCCCAGCUGUGAACGAUGCGGGCUAGGUGUUGGGGUGGCUACGUGCCACUUCAGUGCCGCAGGGAAGCCAUUAAGCCCGCCGCCUGGGGAGUACGGCCGCAAGGCUGAAACUUAAAGGAAUUGGCGGGGAGCACCACAAGGCGUGAAGCUUGCGGUUC
rnacentral:rRNA from 1 species